rfam:Vittaforma corneae ATCC 50505 unplaced genomic scaffold supercont1.3, whole genome shotgun sequence.
AGUGUGAUGGCCGAGUGGUCUAAGGCGCUGGAAUUAGGCUCCAGUCAGUAAUGGCAGGGGUUCGAAUCCCCUUCACACUA